AGUGCAUGUGGUGGAUGCCUUGGCAGUCAGAGGCGAUGAAAGACGUGAUAGCCUGCGAAAAGCUCCGGGGAGGCGGCAAAUAUCCUUUGAUCCGGAGAUGUCUGAAUGGGGGAACCCACCUACUUUAAGGUAGGUAUUGCAACAUGAAUACAUAGUGUUGCAAGGCGAACGAGGGGAAGUGAAACAUCUCAGUACCCUUAGGAAAGAAAUCAAUUGAGAUUCCCUCAGUAGCGGCGAGCGAACGGGGAUCAGCCCAUUAAGUUAUGUGUGUUUUAGUGGAACGCUCUGGGAAGUGCGAACGUAGAGGGUGAUAUUCCCGCACACGAAAGGGCACACAUAAUGAUGACGAGUAGGGCGAGGCACGUGAAACCUUGUCUGAAUAUGGGGGGACCAUCCUCCAAGGCUAAAUACUCCUGACUGACCGAUAGUGAACCAGUACCGUGAGGGAAAGGCGAAAAGAACCCCUGUGAGGGGAGUGAAAUAGAUCCUGAAACCGCAUGCAUACAAGCAGUGGGAGCACCUUCGUGGUGUGACUGCGUACCUUUUGUAUAAUGGGUCAGCGACUUAUAUUCAGUAGCGAGGUUAACCGUAUAGGGGAGCCGUAGAGAAAUCGAGUCUUAAUAGGGCGUUUAGUUGCUGGGUAUAGACCCGAAACCAGGCGAUCUAUCCAUGAGCAGGUUGAAGGUUGGGUAACACUAACUGGAGGACCGAACCCACUGUCGUUGAAAAGCCAGGGGAUGACUUGUGGAUAGGGGUGAAAGGCUAAUCAAGCCUGGUGAUAGCUGGUUCUCCCCGAAAGCUAUUUAGGUAGCGCCUCGGACGAAUACCAUAGGGGGUAGAGCACUGUUUCGGCUAGGGGGUCAUCCCGACUUACCAAACCGAUGCAAACUCCGAAUACCUAUGAGUACUAUCCGGGAGACAGACUGCGGGUGCUAACGUCCGUAGUCAAGAGGAAAACAAUCCAGACCGCCAGCUAAGGCCCCAAAAUCAUAGUUAAGUGGGAAACGAUGUGGGAAGGCAUAGACAGCUAGGAGGUUGGCUUAGAAGCAGCCACCCUUUAAAGAAAGCGUAAUAGCUCACUAGUCGAGUCGGCCUGCGCGGAAGAUGUAACGGGGCUAAAACUAUGUGCCGAAGCUGCGGAUGUAUACUUUGUAUACGUGGUAGGGGAGCGUUCUGUAAGCCGAUGAAGGUGUGUUGAGAAGCAUGCUGGAGGUAUCAGAGUGCGAAUGCUGACGUGAGUAACGACAAAACGGGUGAAAAACCCGUUCGCCGAAAGACCAAGGGUUCCAGUCCAACGUUAAUCGGGCUGGGUGAGUCGACCCCUAAGGCGAGGCCGAAAGGCGUAGUCGAUGGGAAAAUGGUUAAUAUUCCAUUACUUCUGUGUAAUGCGAUGAGAGGACGGAGAAGGCUAAAUCAGCCUGGCGUUGGUUGUCCAGGUGAAAGGAUGUAGGCAUGUAUCUUAGGCAAAUCCGGGGUACUCUAUGCUGAGAUCUGAUAGCAAGCUGUACUUGUACAGCGAAGUGGUUGAUGCCAUGCUUCCAGGAAAAGUCUCUAAGCUUCAGUUACACAGGAAUCGUACCCGAAACCGACACAGGUGGUCAGGUCGAGUAGACCAAGGCGCUUGAGAGAACUCUGCUGAAGGAACUAGGCAAAAUGGUACCGUAACUUCGGGAGAAGGUACGCUGUUGUUGGUGAUGGAACUCGCUUCCUGAGCUGACGACAGCCGCAGAAACCAGGCCGCUGCAACUGUUUAUUAAAAACAUAGCACUCUGCAAACACGAAAGUGGACGUAUAGGGUGUGAUGCCUGCCCGGUGCUGGAAGGUUAAUUGAUGGGGUUAGCGUAAGCGAAGCUCUUGAUCGAAGCCCCAGUAAACGGCGGCCGUAACUAUAACGGUCCUAAGGUAGCGAAAUUCCUUGUCGGGUAAGUUCCGACCUGCACGAAUGGCAUAAUGAUGGCGGCGCUGUCUCCAGCAGAGGCUCAGUGAAAUCGAAAUCGCUGUGAAGAUGCAGUGUACCCGCGGCUAGACGGAAAGACCCCGUGAACCUUUACUGCAGCUUGACACUGAACUUUGACCUUACUUGUGUAGGAUAGGUGGGAGGCUUUGAAGCUGGAACGCUAGUUCCAGUGGAGCCGUCCUUGAAAUACCACCCUGGUAAUGUUGAGGUUCUAACUCUGUCCCGUGAUCCGGGACGAGGACCGUGUCUGGUGGGUAGUUUGACUGGGGCGGUCUCCUCCUAAAGAGUAACGGAGGAGUACGAAGGUGCGCUCAGCGUGGUCGGAAAUCACGCGUAGAGUAUAAAGGCAAAAGCGCGCUUAACUGCGAGACCCACAAGUCGAGCAGGUACGAAAGUAGGUCUUAGUGAUCCGGUGGUUCUGUAUGGAAGGGCCAUCGCUCAACGGAUAAAAGGUACUCUGGGGAUAACAGGCUGAUACCGCCCAAGAGUUCAUAUCGACGGCGGUGUUUGGCACCUCGAUGUCGGCUCAUCUCAUCCUGGGGCUGAAGCAGGUCCCAAGGGUAUGGCUGUUCGCCAUUUAAAGAGGUACGCGAGCUGGGUUUAGAACGUCGUGAGACAGUUCGGUCCCUAUCUACCGUGGGCGCUGGAAAUUUGAGAGGAUCUGCUCCUAGUACGAGAGGACCAGAGUGGACGAACCUCUGGUGUACCGGUUGUGACGCCAGUCGCAUCGCCGGGUAGCUAUGUUCGGAAGGGAUAACCGCUGAAAGCAUCUAAGCGGGAAGCCUACCUCAAGAUAAGAUUUCCCUAGGACUUUAUGUCCUCUAAAGAGCCGUUCGAGACUAGGACGUUGAUAGGUUGGAUGUGGAAGCAUAGUGAUAUGUGAAGCUGACCAAUACUAAUUGCUCGUGAGGCUUGACU
rnacentral:rRNA from 1 species